UCUACAUCGGCGAACCAAGUAUCCCUAACCAUCAACUCUUCAACAAUGCGAUUCAAAUCUCAAACGCCGAAACGAAAAAAAGGAGGGAACUCCAUAAUCUGCAAGGCGGCAAAACUUAACCACAAACACCUCUCUCUCUCUCCAAGAGUCAAGGACUACAGACGUUGCGCGGAAGUAUUAUCGGAAGAGGCAGUCGCUUCUAAUCUACCGUCUGCUUCCGAUUCAUCGCCGGGAGACCUCAGGCUGGAUUCCGUGCUGUCAAACGGUUUUUUUUGUUGAGAUUAGUUUGCGCAUGCGAAGUAGUAGUUCCAGAGAGUACAACUAUACAAACGCAGUUCCGUUGUCACAGGUUCUAGUGCAUGGAGCUUAGAUGAGAACAUCAUUCAAUAUCCAGACAUACCUCUCCAGAAGCAGUACUGGAUUCCCUCCGUGGACAGACCUGAUGAACAAAAACAAUACUAGGUAUUGUUAAACUUUCUGAAACCAAACCUCCAUGUCUAGUUAUUAAACUGUAUCUUCCUCUGUUACCUUUA